AUCUCCCUCUCCGCGUGGUCUGCCGUCUCAUGAUACACACACAGCAGCCAUGACUGCUGUGGAUUUUUGUGGACAGUGGCUUAUUUUCACCUGCGAUACAAAACUCCUCGCCAUUCACACCAAACAGAGCAGAGAAUCGUUUGUGUUUGACUGCAGCACUGCUGAGAAGAAGCCAAAGAAUACAAAGGACGAUAACAACAGUGAUGGCAGUGCCUCAGAGGAAACAGGAAGUGACAAAGUCCUCGCCUUUACUGUGUCUCCAUCUGGAAAGCUUGUGGCAUUGACUGAUGACACUAAGAGGCUGGUCCUGUUGCGCUCUGAGCCUUCAUGGCAGUGUAUCAGCAUCAGGUGGGUGGUGAGGAGGUGCACCUCCCUGAUGUUCAGCAGGGCUGAGGAUGAGCUGCUGGUGACGGACAAAUCAGGAGAUGUGUACUCCUUCUCAGUGGUGGAGCCACAGAGGGAGGGCGAGCUGAAGAUGGGUCACCUGUCCAUGUUGCUAGCUCUAAGUAUGUCACCAGACGACAAGUACAUCAUCACAGCCGACCGUGAUGAGAAGAUCAGAGUGAGCUACCUCAGGUCUCCGUACAACAUCCAGUCCUUCUGUCUAGGACAUCAACAGUUUGUCAGUGCUCUGCUGGUGCCACCAGGUCAUCCACACUGGCUGCUGUCUGGAUCAGGGGAUGGGACCAUAAAGCUGUGGGAGUAUGAGUCAGGCCGUAAGCUGCAGAGCUGGGACCUCAAAGAGCUUGAAGAGACCCCGAACUCUGAGGCUGACAAACGGAAGAAGCCAACUGUGUGCAGAAUCACCAGCUCUCUCGAUGGUUGCCAUGUAGCAGUUCAGUGUGAAAGAGUGUCCACGGUUCAGUUUUUCAGUCUGGACCAGGAGGGUGAAGAGAAGCUUGUGCCACACAGCAGGCUCUCCCUGCCCCACUGUCCACAAGACAUGACCUUUGACCCGGAAGGCCGGCUCUGGGUGGUGAUGGACUCCAGUGAUGUACCACUCCAAAUUUACACACACAGAAGAGACUCCUGGGAGUGUGAUACUGAGAGCCCGGAAAUGAACAGAGUGACUGCAGCCUUCAAGCCACAUUGGGAGACACUUGAGGGACCGUGUGUGAAUGCCGUAACGCUCCGGCGUUGUUUCGGGCGUGGAGGCUCCGUAGGAUCCCUUGAUAUCCGUGGCGGGAUCUCUGAGGUGAGGCCGGUGGCCGGAUGGAUGAUAUUCCAGGGAAGCGCACCUAUUUUGCGGACUUUGAGUGGUGUAAAAUGCCGUGGCAGGCCGAAUACGCAGAGGACUUCUGGCUCAUUUCUCACUCGCCGGCGACUCUCGCCAUACUGCCAGGAGCGUCAUAAUGUAGGGGCCGGUCUACCUGGGCUCAGCUGAUCGAGCCAUCCCACUGGCCGAUAGCACCGGCGGGUGUGUCUGGAGGUACCUCAUUGUCAAGAGCCUCCACAAGGACCCACAACCGCUUAGAGCAUCUGUACAAGGUGAGCUUUGACAACGUGACGGCAUACCUGCAGAAGAAACAGCAGAGACUGGAGGAGCAGCAGCUGAAGAGGAUGAAGGCACAGAAAGCAAACGGC